GACAGAGGGUGCAAACGUUGUUCGGAAUUACUGGGCGUAAAGCGCGUGUAGGCGGCUCGGCAAGUCGGGUGUGAAAGCCCUGGGCUUAACCUAGGAAGUGCACUCGAAACUGCCAAGCUUGAGUUCUGGAGAGGAAGGCGGAAUUCUCGGUGUAGAGGUGGAAUUCGUAGAUAUCGAGAGGAACACCGGUGGCGAAGGCGGCCUUCUGGACAGCAACUGACGCUGAGACGCGAAAGCGUGGGGAGCAAACAGG
rnacentral:rRNA from 1 species